rnacentral:misc_RNA from 1 species
UCCCGCUUAACACGGGCAGUCCCCUUAGAGUGCCACGGCGUCACCCGGGGGCAACUAAGGGCAAGGGUUGCGCUCGUUGCGGGACUUAACCCAACACCUCACGGCACGAGCUGACGACAGCCAUGCAGCACCUGUCUUGGCGCUCCCUUGCGGGCACCCGCCGGUUUCCCGGCGAUUCGCCAGAUGUCAAACCCAGGUAAGGUUCUUCGCGUUGCAUCGAAUUGAACCACAUGCUCCACCGCUUGUGCGGGCCCCCGUCAAUUCCUUUGAGUUUCAGCCUUGCGGCCGUACUCCCCAGGCGGGGCACUUAAUGCGUUAGCGCCGGCACCCAGGGGGUCGCUCCCCCAGGCACCUAGUGCCCAUCGUUUACGGCGUGGACUAC